rnacentral:lncRNA from 1 species
ACAUGAGAAGAUCAGCAGCAAUAAAAUGCCAUGAACUCAGUAACCAGAGACAGAACCAGGGCCAGGCAGGUGCUGGGUGCAGCAGGUGUUGGUGCCCUGAAAUCCCAUAUCACAGUGGCGUCCCUGUCCUGCUUUCCAGUUCCAGCUUCCUGCUGUUACCUACUCUGGGAGGCAGCCAGUGAUAGCUCAGUGCUUGAGUCCCUGCUACCCAUGUGGGAGACUUGAAUGAAGCUGUGGGCUCUUGGUUUCCAUGUGGUCCAGCCCUGGAUGUUGCUGGCAUUUGGAAAAUAGUAUUUAUCCUCCCUCCCUCCCUCCCUCCCUCCCUCCCUCUCUUCCUCCCUCCUUCCCUCUCUCCCUCUCUCCCUCUCUCCCUCUCUCCCUCUCUCUCUCUCUCUCUCUCUCUCUCUGAAUCCCUGCCUUUCAAAUGGACAAAAUAAACAGAAAAUUUAAAGAAAGGAUCGGGAUUAAGAAAAUAGUGCUGCUGGGAAGAGCCAUGUUUCUUUUCUUUCCUCUUUCCCUCUAUUUUUCAAAAAAUAUCAGUUCCCUCCCAAACUACCAGGGAAAUGCCUGUUUACACACUUGGCACUGCACCUGGUCCUUCUUCUCCCCAGGUGGAAUGGAUCCCGAUAAAUGAAGUACAGAAAACAGCACAAUGCCUGGAAAAGCACAAGGAAAUUGUUUACAGGAUUCCCAUCUUAGAUGCUAGCUCCUUGCUAUGGAAGGUCCUAUCUUGCCUGGAAAAGCAAAGAAUAAAACAAGAGAAGUGUGUCUGCAGAAACUGGUGAAAACACUUCCCCUCGCACUCUCUUCUUUCAGGAGGUGAGAAAGGGUAAAGGUGGAGAAUUGUUUGCUAAGAUUGUAUUUCGUAUUUUGGUUUAAAUUUUGCCCAUGUGGUUCGAGGCCUCUUUAUAAAAAAAGAAAAGAAAAUCCCUGAAUCCUCAGACAUGCUUAUUAAAUCUAACAGCGCACCUGCUACAGAUUACAUGCCAGUAGCUCCUGGACUCCUCCUGCUUUGCGGCAUUCGUGCUACAGAGGUGUAUCAUUUUUACUGCAGGAAUUCAGACAAAUGAGGGAGUUAGACACGCAGGUUGAUUAAAGGCAAACAAAUCUCAACAGUCAAAUAUUUCUGAGGAAAAAAUUUGAGCCAGCAAGGCUUAGGAUCCUCUUUGCCAGAAAACAUGAUCUUGGUUAUUUUGAUAACCGUGGGCAUCUGUGCCUAAGGACUGGUGGGAUGGUAUUUCCGGUGAAAUUUAAAAAAUAAUAAAUCUGCCUUUGCAGUCUUGGAGGAGUAAGAG